AUUGAACGCUGGCGGCAUGCCUUACACAUGCAAGUCGAACGGUAACGGGCCUUCGGGUGCCGACGAGUGGCGAACGGGUGAGUAAUACAUCGGAACGUGCCCGAUCGUGGGGGAUAACGAGGCGAAAGCUUUGCUAAUACCGCAUACGAUCUACGGAUGAAAGCAGGGGACCGCAAGGCCUUGCGCGGACGGAGCGGCCGAUGGCAGAUUAGGGAGUUGGUGGGAUAAAAGCUUACCAAGCCGACGAUCUGUAGCUGGUCUGAGAGGAUGAUCAGCCACACUGGGCGUGAGACCCGGCCCAGACUCCUACGGGAAGGAGCAGUGGGGAAUUUUGGACAAUGAGCGCAAGCCUGCUCCAACCAUGCCGCGUGCAGAAUGAAGGCCUUCGGGUUGUAAACUGCUUUUGUACGGAACGAAAAGCCUUCUUUUAAUACAGGAGGGUCAUGACGGUACCGUAAGAAUAAGCACCGGCUAACUACGUG
rnacentral:rRNA from 1 species